ensembl:lncRNA
GCCAGUCACCCGAACUCUCUGGGAUGUGAGUCCAGCCAGGGGCGCUGGCCUUGGCUGGGGGUCUCACUCUGCAGACCCUUUAGUGAGGGUUUUCUCUGCCACAGUUGGGAAAAGAGGCCUGAAUGGGGCUCAGGGUUUGCAUCUGAUCUCGUCGCUCCCCAGCUCCAGCGCGCCCCACCCGCCGCAACUGCUGGCGUUCACCCCUCUGCCCGGUGGACAGCGAGGCCCGUCCUGACCCUAACUUGUCCCCGGAAGCCACCAGCGUGCAGGCUUGAGAGGGCUUGUGGCUCGGGACUCCGGGGUUCACCACACACGGAUGCAGAGAACCCUGACCAACCCUCCUGCGAUGGAAGAAAC